rnacentral:rRNA from 1 species
AUUGAACGCUGGCGGCAUGCCUUACACAUGCAAGUCGAACGGCAGCACGGGAGCAAUCCUGGUGGCGAGUGGCGAACGGGUGAGUAAUGUAUCGGAACGUGCCCAGUCGUGGGGGAUAACGCAGCGAAAGCUGCGCUAAUACCGCAUACGAUCUAUGGAUGAAAGCGGGGGAUCGCAAGACCUCGCGCGAUUGGAGCGGCCGAUAUCAGAUUAGGUAGUUGGUGGGGUAAAAGCUUACCAAGCCUACGAUCUGUAGCUGGUCUGAGAGGACGACCAGCCACACUGGGACUGAGACACGGCCCAGACUCCUACGGGAGGCAGCAGUGGGGAAUUUUGGACAAUGGGCGCAAGCCUGAUCCAGCAAUGCCGCGUGCAGGAUGAAGGCCUUCGGGUUGUAAACUGCUUUUGUACGGAACGAAAAGCCCUGGGUUAAUACCCUGGGGUCAUGACGGUACCGUAAGAAUAAGCACCGGCUAACUACGUGCCAGCCGCCGCGGUAAAAC